GAUGAACGCUGGCGGCGUGCCUAAUACAUGCAAGUCGAGCGAACAGACGAGGAGCUUGCUCCUCUGACGUUAGCGGCGGACGGGUGAGUAACACGUGUAUAACCUACCUAUAAUACUGGGAUAACUUCGGGAAACCGGAUCUAAUACCGGAUAAGAUAUUGCACCACAUUGUUCAUUAGUGAAAGACGGUUUUGCUGUCACGUCUAGCUGGAUCCGCGCCGCAUGAGAUAGUUGGUACGUUAACGGCUUACCAAGGGGACGAUGCGUAGCCGAACGGCGAGGGUGAUAGGCGACACUGGAGGUGAGACACGGUCCAGACUCCUACGAGAGGCAGCAGUAGGGAAUCUUCCGCAAAGGGCGAAAGCAUGACGGAGCAAGGCCGAGUGAGAGAUGAAGGUCUUCGGAUCGUAAAACCCUGUUAUUAGGGAAGAACAAAUGUGUAAGUAACUAUGCACGUCUUGACGGUAAUUAAUCAGAAAGCAACGGCUAACUACGUG
rnacentral:rRNA from 1 species